rnacentral:ncRNA from 1 species
UAAAGGCAUGGUCCUGACCUUAUUAUUAGCUCUAACCCAACUUACACAUGCAAGUCUCCGCAGCCCCGUGAGUAUGCCCUUAAUCCCCUGCCCGGGGACGAGGAGCGGGCAUCAGGCACAAAUUUUUAGCCCAAGACGCCUGGCCGAGCCACACCCCCAAGGGAAUUCAGCAGUGAUAAAUAUUAAGCCAUGAGUGAAAACUUGACUCAGUCAGGGUUAAGAGGGCCGGUAAAACUCGUGCCAGCCACCGCGGUUAAACGAGAGGCCCCAGUUAAUAAUACACGGCGUAAAGGGUGGUUAAGGAAAGCAUAACGAUAAAGCCGAAUGGCCCUUUGGCUGUCAUACGCUUCUAGGUGUCCGAAGCCCAAUAUACGAAAGUAGCUUUAGUAAAGCCCACCUGACCCCACGAAAGCUGAGAAACAAACUGGGAUUAGAUACCCCACUAUGCUCAGCCAUAAACCUAGACGUCCAGCUACAAUUAGACGUCCGCCCGGGUACUACGAGCAUUAGCUUGAAACCCAAAGGACCUGACGGUGCCUUAGACCCCCCUAGAGGAGCCUGUUCUAGAACCGAUAACCCCCGUUAAACCUCACCACUUCUAGCCACCCCAGCCUAUAUACCGCCGUCGUCAGCUUACCCUGUGAAGGCAAUAAAAGUAAGCAAGAUGGGCACAGCCCAGAACGUCAGGUCGAGGUGUAGCGUACGAAGCGGGAAGAAAUGGGCUACAUUUUCUACAAUAGAACACUACGGACAUGCAACAUGAAAUAGUGCUUGAAGGAGGAUUUAGUAGUAAAGAGGAAGCAGAGUGUCCUUUUGAACCCGGCUCUGAGGCGCGUACACACCGCCCGUCACUCUCCCCUGUCAAAAUGCAAUAAAGCUACCUAACAACAGAGCGCUGACAAGGGGAGGCAAGUCGUAACAUGGUAAGUGUACCGGAAGGUGCACUUGGAUUAAAUU